rnacentral:lncRNA from 1 species
AACUUCUAUUGUUGAAGGCAGAUAUAGAUUUUCAACUACCCAUAUGAAAUGAUCAGAUCAGAUAAAGAUAACGGUAAUUUGCUCAUGCACAAUUCCAACUGGCCAAACCAUUGUAUGAUUUACGACCACGACCAUACCAACCAUAGUGGUCCUAUCAGAUAUCUACAGUCACGACAGUACUUAGCCAAAUGUGACUCCUAACAGAUAUUCGAGUCACCAC